rnacentral:rRNA from 1 species
UGCUUUACACAUCAAGUCGAACGGCAGCGCGGGACAAUCCUGGCCGGCGAGUGGCGAACGGGUAGUAAUAUAUCGGAACGUGCCCUGUAGCGGGGGAUAACCUAUCGAAAGAUGGACUAAUACCGCAUACGCUCUACGGAGGAAAGCGGGGGUCGCAAGACCUCGCACUAUAGGAGCGGCCGAUAUCGGAUUAGCUAGUUGGCGGGGUAAAAGCCCACCAAGGCGACGAUCCGUAGCUGGUCUGAGAGGAUGAUCAGCCACACUGGAACUGAGACACGGUCCAGACUCCUACGGGAGGCAGCAGUGGGGAAUUUUGGACAAUGGGGGCAACCCUGAUCCAGCCAUGCCGCGUGUGUGAUGAAGGCCUUCGGGUUGUAAAGCACUUUCGGGCGGAACGAAAUCGCGCGGGCGAAUAUCCCGCGUGGAUACGGUACCGUAAGGAAGAAGCACCGGGUAACUACGUGCCAGGCAGCCGCGGUAAUACGUAGGGGUUGCGAGCGUUAAAUCGGGAAUUACUGGGCGUAAAAGGGUGCGCAGGCGGCUUCGCAAGGUCAGACGUGAAAUCCCCGAGCUUAACUUGGGAAUUGCGUUUGGAAAUACGAGGGCUGGAGUGUGGCAGAGGGAGGUGGAAUCCACGUGUAGCGGGUGAAAAUGCGUAGGAUCAUGUGGAGGGAACACCGGAAUUGGCGAAAGGCAAGCCUUCCUUGGGCCAACCACUGAGGCUCAUG